CCUCGCAGCCCUCCAUGGGCGUUUCCUCCCUAGACUUCAGGCCGCCCUAUGUGGGCGGCCUCUUUUCUAGAACACC
rnacentral:sRNA from 21 species